GAGUCAGUACCCACACUGGCAAUAUUGCUUCGCACUUUAGAGAAUUUGAUAAUUUUGGAGUGAAUUUUCAAAUUACAAGGAUCUAUGUUCUUGGUUUUCUCCCUUACUAGUUAUUUGAACACCGGACAAGUUACCUAAAGUUGCUUACAGCCUUUCAGAACAUGGUGCUAUCUGAGACCGGGUGUUAUAAGGAAGAAAGCAUGACUUUGAGAUAAAGUUUCCCUCUCUAGCUCUGCUUCUUUCCCUUCUUAUCAUCACUAAUGUUUUCCUAAAAGGCAGGCAGUUAGAGAACGGGCUACGGCAUCAUUGCAGAGGACUCAGAGCUUAUAACCAAGCCACACACAACAUCCAAUGAAGAAACUGGAUUACUUGAUGGGAUUUGUCAUGUACAAGCUUGAAGACAAUGUAUGAGUGUUAUAUUAUUCUCAUCUUUCCAUAAAACCCAAUAUAAAAGAAAAAAUGUUUUCCCCUGGC
rnacentral:lncRNA from 1 species